rnacentral:siRNA from 1 species
GACAAUAUGGGCUUGACCGUAUG